rnacentral:rRNA from 1 species
GACGAACGCUGGCGGCGUGCUUAACACAUGCAAGUCGAGCGGAAAGGCCCUUCGGGGUACUCGCGCGGCGACCGGGUGAGUAACACGUGGGUAAUCUGCCCCCCACUUCGGGAUUGCCCCCGGAAACGGUGAUUAAUACCGGAUGUGACCACUUCUCGCCUGGGAUGGUGGGGGAAAGUGCGUCGGUGGGGGAUGUGCUCGCGGCCUAGCAGCUUGUUGGCGGGGUAAGGGCCUACCAAGGGUUCGACGGGUAGCCGGCCUGGGAGGGUGACCGGUCACACUGGGACUGAGACACGGCCCAGACUCCUACGGGAGGCAGCAGUGGGGAAUAUUGGACAAUGGGCGGAAGCCGGAUCCAGCAACGCCGCGUGGGGGAGGACGGCCUUCGGGUUGUAAUCCUCUUUCACCGAUGACGAAGCGCAAGUGACGGUAGUAGGGGAAGAAGCACCGGCCAACUACGUGCCAGCCGCCGCCGUAAGAC